rnacentral:lncRNA from 1 species
AACAAUUUAAUUGAAAUGCAUAUACAACUCAUAUCCAUUUUGAUUUUGUUCUCUUCCCUUUUUUUUUGGUCAAGUCCUCAAUUCUUUUUAGCCUCCUUAAUUUCAUUGAUAGUUCCAGCUAUUCAUUUGUCAAAAUUACAAUUUGGUUGCUGCAAAAAAAAAAAAAAAACACAUACUGUACAUAUUAUUCUGCUAACCUAAUAAUUUUAUACCAUUUCUAUUUGUGUUACAUAACGUGAACUAUGAAUUUCUUUGGAAAAA